rnacentral:tRNA from 1 species
UUUAGCGCAGUGGGCAGUGUGUCAGUCUCCUAAACUGAAGGUCCUGAGUUCAAUCCCUGAA